UAGGAACAUGCCUUAAAGUGGGGGACAACUUGGGGAAACUCAAGCUAAUACCGCAUAAUCUCCGAGGAGAGAAGCUGGGGACCUUCGGGCCUGGCGCUUUAAGAUUAGCCUGCGUACGAUUAGCUAGUUGGUAGGGUAAAGGCCUACCAAGGCGACGAUCGUUAUCUGGUCUGAGAGGAUGAUCAGCCACACUGGAACUGAGACACGGCCCAGACUCCUAUGGGAGGCAG
rnacentral:rRNA from 1 species